CGCUAUAUAAGUAUCAGUUUCUGUACUUUAUUGAUCAUCAAUGCGCGACGCGCUGCGCACAACACACAUACAUACACACAGCAACGCACACACAGAAGGGGAUAUCUUCUUCUGUGUGUGUUGCGCGUGUUGUGUGUGUGUGGUGCGUGCGGCAACUCGACACACAAUUGAGAUCUGGUUGAUUCUGCCAGUAGUCAUAUGCUUGUUUCAAGGGCUUAGCCAUGCAU
rnacentral:precursor_RNA from 1 species